CCGUAGCCCAAGAGAUCGGGAUAACACCUGGAAACAGAUGCUAAUACCGGAUAACAANAGAUGAUGCCUAUCAACUGUUUAAAAGAUGGUUCUGCUAUCACUCUUGGAUGGACCUGCGGUGCAUUAGCUAGUUGGUAGGGUAACGGCCUACCAAGGCGAUGAUGCAUAGCCGAGUUGAGAGACUGAUCGGCCACAUUGGGACUGAGACACGGCCCAAACUCCUACGGGAGGCAGCAGCG
rnacentral:rRNA from 1 species